AGACACGCUCAUGUUGCAUACUUACUACGCAUUUUUGUGUCUGGAAAAAAAUAUUUAUUUCACCCUCCAUUGCUUCGCAAAUCAUUAAUUUCAAAACAUCCGCAGAGGGGAUGCGACUAAUAAGGUCAUGUAUCGAGCUAAUGUUAUUGUAUUCGGAACACUGGGAAACCCAAACUUGAAAAACAUCCCAGAGGGGGAUGCGACUAAUGACGUCACGUAUCGAGCUAAUGCUGUAUUGUAGUCGGAACGCGCAGAAAGCAAAAUUAACAAUACCAACAAUCAAGGUUUUAAACGGAUGUAAACAGAACAGACAUGACAAAAAAUAACAGAUUUUAUUUUUGUUGAUGUGGGGAAAUUAGCCGGGUGGAGAUGCUAAAGUAACCAGGUUAUUUUACCGGCUCCCGGCCCAUUUCUACACCCCUGUGUAUUAGGAAUUCGCGAAUCACGUGUCACUUUGUUUUGACAGCCGUUGCUGCUUGGGACAAUAAAGUUAAGUCAGCAACCGUCUACCAGACUGCAAGAUUCAUCUCUUCCAAAGGAUGUCGUACCUUUCCAGAUACACUGUGUUUUGUGUGGAUAAGAAAUGCAGAGUGGUACCACCAAUCACCUAAGCCACCAUUCCCCUAACAGACAAUAGGCUCAUGGGGACAGUUCCUGCAAUUUACAGAAAAGCUCUCAAUUGUAGCCCUACGAACUUCAGAUACUGCUGAUGGUUAAGCUUGGGUGCACCGGGCCGGUUUUCCAGCCUUGUGGAAUCAACAUCUCCAGCUGAACUGGGGCCGGGAAUUAUAUAAGACUCCUUAGCAGCAUGAGUGCCAGCCAGUCAUUGCUGUUCUUUGCAUUGCUGAGGAGGACAGUCAUGCCAACAUAACAGUUUGUUCAAUAACAGGAGACAAACAGAAACAUAGAGGUGCUAUACAUUCUGAUGGAAAAACAAAAGCAUCUCCCAUCAUUUUGGCGUGGCUCAGAUCAAGAGGAGAAUUUUAAGAAAGGUGAUGGUUGGGCACACACAAGAAGACAUAGAUCACAGGUGUCUAGCCAUAUGAGUAGAUAGGAGUGUCACACUCUGCCAAACUUACUUCAUCAGACGAGCAGAAAGCUUCUCAAGAUCCCGCACUGCACACUAAGACAUAGUCUUUGACUACAACAAGGUGAUGAAAGUACAGAGAGAUCCAAUUGAAAUCAAUUCUGUGCUACUGUCAUUUCUUCAUUCUGGAAGUCGAUGGACAUGAUUUAUCAUGGCAUCAAGUGUGCAGUUUGUCGACUAUCAGCAGUCUUGUUCACCAGCUGUGCAACUUGAGCUGGUAGCUUUAUUGCUUGAAGCCACUGCAUAAGAGGAGGGAAGGUGCAGGUUCAUCAAAAAGUCCCAAAAGUUGAAACUAGGAAAAGAAGUUUAUCAAGAGUGUGAAUCUAUUUUGAAAACAAUCGUUACAAUGAUUUGGUUUCCUUUGAAACUUGAUACAUACUAUGAAUUGAGAUGCUUAAAUAAAAAACCGCUAUUCAAUUAUCAGGAAACUGCCUUUUUCAUACUAAAGGGUAAAUGAUGUCGCCAUUUCCUGUAUGUAUUUAAAUAAGAUAUGUCUCCACAAUUAA